rnacentral:lncRNA from 1 species
GUUUUAUAAAGGUUUUUCUUUUUUUUUAAUUGUCUUAUUUAGAUCGCUCUAGUUGAAGGACUGUACUUUCUAUUCAGAGAACUGCUGCCCAGUCUUGCAAAGAGAACAGGUCCAAGAAUCAUUGACGAUAAUGAGGUUUUUGAACACUCAGCAGUUUGCUGGGCCUACCUGAUGUCUCAAGCUGAGAGUUUUAGCUCAGAAAAUGAGAUGUAUGCACCAACAUCAUUGAGAUGUCAAGGAUCACAUGGCCGCCUCUCAGAACCAGUGCGCAUUCCAGGGCUGCCAACAAUUUAUGACAGAGCAUAUGUGCUGGAAAAAAUAAAGAAUGAUGAGGCCAUUCCAAACUGUUCUGAAACGAACCUCAAGGAAACAUCUAUCAUGCAAGCAAAAGAUGUGGAAAGGAUUUUGCUGAGUCUCCCUCCCUGGAUAAACACGUUUCCACUUUUGAUUUCAUACAAUUAUGUCUCUGGUAAAAACUUUCAGAUAAAUGCUGAAACGACCUUCAGCGACAUGACAAAACUGCUGACUCAGUACCCCCACCUUGAAGUGACUCCACCUUUACAGCUGAGGAGCAUUGGAUUGGAUCCACCUCGUCUUGUGCUCCUGAAAGAAGAUAACCUCGGUGUGUAUCUUGGAAAAGACAAACUAACUCCUCAAAAGAUUAAUGCUUUUGAUUGUCUUGCUGGAAAAAAGAUUAUUGUAGACAUUGACACACUGGCA